GGCGGCGUGCCUAAGACAUGCAAGUCGAGCGGUUGGCGGCGGGGCGUGAGCUCUGCUGCCGGCAGCGGCGGACGGGUGCGUAACGCGCAAGCAAUCUACCCGUCAGACCGGGAUAACACUGCGAAAGCGGUGCUAAUACUGGAUAUGCUCCUUAUGCCGCAUGGUGUAGGGAGGAAAGGGGCACGUGGAGAGCGUGUCUGCUGACGGAUGAGCUUGCGUCCCAUUAGCUAGUUGGCGGGGUAACGGCCCACCAAGGCGACGAUGGGUAGCCGGCCUGAGAGGGUGGUCGGCCACACUGGGACUGAGACACGGCCCAGACUCCUACGGGAGGCAGCAGUCGGGAAUCUUCCACAAUGGGCGAAAGCCUGAUGGAGCGACGCCGCGUGGGUGAAGAAGGUCUUCGGACUGUAAAGCCCUGUCCUCAGGGACGAAGGGGAUGACGGUACCUGAGGAGGAAGCCCCGGCUAACUACGUGCCAGCAGCCGCGGUAAUACGUAGGGGGCGAGCGUUGUCCGGAAUCACUGGGCGUAAAGGGCGUGUAGGCGGUCAUUCAAGUCGGGUGUGAAAGGCCACGGCUCAACUGUGGCAUGGCACUCGAAACUGGGUGACUUGAGGGUAGUAGAGGAGAGCGGAAUUCCCGGUGUAGCGGUAAAAUGCGCAGAUAUCGGGAGGAACACCAGUGGCGAAGGCGGCUCUCUGGGCUAUCCCUGACGCUGAGGCGCGAAAGCUAGGGGAGCGAACGGGAUUAGAUACCCCGGUAGUCCUAGCUGUAAACGAUGGGUACUAGGUGUAGGGGGUAUCGACCCCUUCUGUGCCGGAGUUAACGCAAUAAGUACCCCGCCUGGGGAGUACGGCCGCAAGGUUGAAACUCAAAGGAAUUGACGGGGGCCCGCACAAGCAGUGGAGCAUGUGGUUUAAUUCGAAGCAACGCGUAGAACCUUACCAGGGCUUGACAUCCCCUGGAGGCACGGGAAACCGUGCUGGCCUACCGAUGAGGUAGGACAGGGAGACAGGUGGUGCAUGGUUGUCGUCAGCUCGUGUCGUGAGAUGUUGGGUUAAGUCCCGCAACGAGCGCAACCCCCGUCCUCUGUUGCCACGCGCGUAGGCGGGCACUCAGGGGAGACUGCCGGAGACGAUUCGGAGGAAGGUGGGGAUGACGUCAAAUCAUCAUGCCCUUGAUGCCCUGGGCUACACACGUGCUACAAUGGCCGGUACAGCGGGUUGCGAAGCUGCGAGGCGGAGCCAAUCCCUAAAAGCCGGUCUCAGUUCGGAUCGCAGGCUGCAACUCGCCUGCGUGAAGGCGGAAUUGCUAGUAAUCGCGGAUCAGAACGCCGCGGUGAAUACGUUCUCGGGCCUUGUACACACCGCCCGUCACACCACGAAAGUCGGCAACACCCGAAGUCGGUGAGCCAACCCUGGUGAAGGGAGGCAGCCGCCGAA
rnacentral:rRNA from 1 species